GAUGAACGCUAGCUACAGGCUUAACACAUGCAAGUCGAGGGGAAACGGCAUUUAGUGCUUGCACCGAAUGGACGUCGACCGGCGCACGGGUGAGUAACGCGUAUCCAACCUACCCAUUACUGUGGGAUAACCUGCCGAAAGGCAGACUAAUACCGCAUAGUCUUCGAUGACGGCAUCAGAUUUGAAGUAAAGAUUUAUCGGUAAUGGAUGGGGAUGCGUCUGAUUAGCUUGUUGGCGGGGUAACGGCCCACCAAGGCAACGAUUAGUAGGGGUUCUGAGAGGAAGGUCCCCCACAUUGGAACUGAGACACGGUCCAAACUCCUACGGGAGGCAGCAGUGAGGAAUAUUGGUCAAUGGACGAGAGUCUGAACCAGCCAAGUAGCGUGCAGGAUGACGGCCCUAUGGGUUGUAAACUGCUUUUGU
rnacentral:rRNA from 1 species